rnacentral:sRNA from 1 species
CCAUGUUUAUUUAUCUGCAACCGAAAUGGGCAAAUUACUUUUUUCUCUUAUCACCUUGACUUUUGUUUUUUCUAUUAAAAUUAUUUUUAAUAUUAUGGCUGUGAAUGGUGACUGCGUUUUGCGGUACGCAAAAAGUGCGGUGCGGUUCAAAUAGUAAUGAAAAUCAGCACUGUUGCGAUACGGUUUUAAGUGCGGUUUUGGUCACCAUUCACAGCCUAUAAAUCAUUAUACUUUUGUCCAAAAAAAAAUAUAAAAAAUCAUUACAGUAAAUAGUUUAUUU